UAUAAUUGUAGUCAACGAAAAUGUCAGAAGUAAUUCCAAAACCUGGCUCCAGUGCCUGCCAACUUGCUGUUACUGAGAAAGCCCAUAUUAAUUUGGUCUACUACCUCCAUGGAGAUGCCACUACAAAUGUACCAUGCCUGUCUCAGGAGAGAUGCUCAGAAGGAGGA
rnacentral:lncRNA from 1 species